GUCUGUGUGCCCCACACAGGUACCUGUAACCCCUGCCCCCAGAUGGGACCACGAGGCCACAGCAUGAGGGGGUGCUGCCCAUGAGCCUCAGAUCAACACUGUCACAGGGUUACAUCAAAACACAGCCGGGGGCUGUCCUGGUUCCCCCAGCAAGAGAGGAAGAGGACGAGGUGCCCCUAAGGACCACCUUUCGCCUGACCUCCGUCCAUCUGCCACGUCAACACGUUGUAGGAGGAGCCCCCAGCUCCACUAGCCAGUCCCAAGCUCCCAAGGACUCAGCUCGCUCUGCCCAAAACACUGGCCCCCAGGACACUGGCCAGGCCUCUCUGAAGACUUUAAAGCCCCCAACCCUAAAGAAAAUAGGGUUUUUAUCCCAGCCUCCAGCCUGAUUCAAACAAGCCCAUUCUUAAGAGCUCUACCUGCAACCCGUGGGAAUGUUUGUUUCUGCUGGGUCUGCCUCCCGCGCUGCAAAGUUGGCCCUGUGAAAGCAGCUAAUGGAUAUGUUUGCGUUGCUUCAGUCUCCCCGGGACCCAGCACUGUGCCUGGACCGUGGCAGCUCCUGAGAAGCACCCGACAAUGCCACUCAGACCACAAACUCCAGGGGUGCCUGCCUGGCAGGACGCUGCUAGAACAGACAGCUCCGUGAGAACCGCGUGGUCUGUGAUGACUCAGUAAUAGCGGCCGGCGUCGCAUGACGACGACCACGACGGUGACAAGCGUCCCUGUCGCCCCCGGCUGGCCCCAGGUCAGCGCGCUUUCCGGGGAGCGGAUGGGGGACGGCACCCCAAGUUUGACUGAGGCCGCGCCCCCCGCGCCCCUCGGGCCGUGCGGGAGGCCCCUGCCCUGCCCUCCGUCCGCGAGACCCUCCUCAUCCUGCGUCGGUUUCUGUGGUUC
ensembl:lncRNA